rnacentral:rRNA from 1 species
GAUGAACGCUAGCGAUAGGCUUAACACAUGCAAGUCGAGGGGCAGCACAAGGUAGCUUGCUAUCUGGGUGGCGACCGGCGCACGGGUGCGUAACGCGUAUGCAACUUGCCCUAUACAGGAGGAUAACCCGUCGAAAGACGGACUAAUACUGCGUAUGCUCACAACUUGGCAUCAAGUGGUGAGGAAAGAAAUUCGGUAUAGGAUAGGCAUGCGUCCCAUUAGCUUGUUGGUGAGGUAACGGCUCACCAAGGCAACGAUGGGUAGGGGAACUGAGAGGUUUAUCCCCCACACUGGUACUGGGACACGGACCAGACUCCUACGGGAGGCAGCAGUGAGGAAUAUUGGUCAAUGGGCGCGAGCCUGAACCAGCCAAGUCGCGUGAAGGAUGACUGUCUUAUGGAUUGUAAACUUCUUUUAUACGGGAAUAACAAGAGUCACGUGUGACUCCCUGCAGGUACCGUAUGAAUAAGCAUCGGCUAACUCCGUG